GAGAGGGGUGCUGUUGGAAAAAGGAAGGCCCUUGCUGCAGACGCAGUGAAAUGCAGCACAAUAAGUGGCGUUUUUCCCGGAAAGGGACAUGAGCAUCCAGAAGGCUCACUGAGCAGCCAGAGACACCCAGGAUGUCUGCCAAGCAUUGGAACAUACAAACCUGUUCAAGUCCCACAUUUUACAGGCUUUCACACAAACUUCUGAUGUAUCUAGUUUGUACGAGUCAGCCACCACUUCUUCGUGUGAGACUAUGCGCAGAUGCAUAACAAAGGUGGCCCUUCCUUCCCCAUCUCCAUCCCAAACAUACGACAUCCUCUCUCCGACCUCCUCCCUCGCUCCCUCAUCACAAAUUCUCAUGCUCAUUCAGCUGGAAGCGUGACCUUCUAUGCCUGGACAACUUGCGUUCUUCAGAAACCAACAUUGGUGAAUAUUUGUUUGUUCUCUUCCAUGGCGACCAAAGGGACCAAUGAAAAGGUGCAUCUGUAAGCAAAGAAAAUUCAAAUAGCUGCAAAGAAAGUAUAGAGUUGGUAAACUUUGACCAGUAAAGCUUCUCUUGACCCCACUUGGCAUUGCCCACAUUCAGCACGGCAAGAUACGAAUUUUGCUUCAGCGGAUGAUGGUCAUUUGCCGGCCUUUGUGCAUGAGCUACCAUGCCUUUACUCUGCGAUGGGGCAGCACGCAUUGGCCAUCUUCUUUAGCUUGAGGCCACAGGCAUAGCAGAGACACAUGUGUCCACAGGCAUAAAGGACAGUGUCAACCACAUUCUCGUAGCAAAUGGUGCAUUCGUCACUCCAAGAGCCGGAGCUGGACGGAAAGGUUGGUGACUCUGGCUGGCUGGAGAAUGGAGAGCUUGGGGUUGUACCUGAGGUGGUGAAAGAAAUCACAUUAGAGACGUGUUUUUGAGUGUGUGACGAAAUGAAAAAUUCAACCCCAAAAAAAUCAAGUGCUGGCAGACAGCCAUCAAUACCCUGGCUCCUGGUUUCCUCUGCUAAUGCAGCUUCCCUGCAACUUUUAUGUAGACAUAAUUGUGAUCCAAUUUGCUCCUCCUUCCAGCAUUAUCUGCCAAGAAUUUUCCCGUCAUACUGCCUGCAGCUUCAGACUGCAAUGAUGUCAGGGAUCACUGCUUCACAUCACCAAGGCAAAUAUUUGCUUCAUGUGCAAACACGUGUGUGCUUCUGGCUGCUUUAUCGUUCUCCUACAUGUCUGCACUUUAAUCCAGUUCAUACAUUAAACAAUAUAGGGAUGGAAACAGAACCAUAAUUCUCUGAAAAGAAGAAUACCUUGGGGUGACCCAUAGGGGUGAAAGACAAAGAGAAGAUAGAAAAGAAAAGCAAGUUAACUGGAUCACUUGGACAAACCUGUGGAUGAAGAGAAGACUGCGUUGUAGUUGGCAUUGAGGCUUGAAUUGAGGUUGAUGUUCAUGUUGAGGUUGUGAUCUGAGUUUCCACUGCAAAGCACUGUGGGGGUGUUAGGUGUGCAGGAUGGAGAGCUGGGAACCGAUGGGCCUCGAAGGUCUGGGUGUGAAGAUGAGCCUGAAGACACACAGGAAACACCACAGAUUUAGCUAAACACAGAUUAUCUUUGAGAGUAGGAACCUGCUGACACCAUUUUACCCUCACAUAUUGGUUGCAACACCUGGAGUGGAUCACUGAAUGAUGCAGAGUGUUUGAAACACUGAUUGUAUCAGAGACCAGAUACUGUAGUUUAUGCUAUAUUGGGGAAUAUGAGCAACUCUACACUAAAGUAUACUCCUGUGUUCAAAAGAUCAAAAUAAAAAGCUUU